UAAUUUAAAUGGUAGCAGAACGUUUUGUAUAUUUGAGAAAAUUUAUAGUUAUAUAAAUUGAAAAAAUCAAAAAUGAAAAUAUUGAUAUGAGUAGCGAAAAACGGUUAAGUGAAAACAAACUGCGUCACCUUAAGUUCAAGGUUUAUAAGGAAAGGCUAAUCCUCCUUAAUGUUAAUCGGUCCCUAAGAUGACAACGAAAGUUAUAGUUGAUGGGUAAUAAUUUUUUAUU
rnacentral:rRNA from 1 species